UUUUGCGUGACGCCCGACGAAUCUGGCGAAAAUCUGGCGGGAUAACUCACAGCUGUCUGGCACAAAAACCAAUCGGUUCAAUCGGUUGAACCGUGCACGACCGGUUUGUUGCAUAUUCGCCAGAAUUCUGGCAACAUUCUUGGGCCAGUCGGGGGGAAAAUCUGCCAGACGUCUUGCGCAGCUAAGUGCAGCGCCCAAUACAAAACGCCCGCCAGGCGCUCCCCUUUUCCGUCUGGGUUGUUGAACAUGUUCUAGCUGUCAAAACUGUGUAAAUUUUCAACACAGAUCUGUGUAAAAAGUUACACAGAUUUUCGAUCAGCUUCCCUUUUAAAUCUGGGUAAAAAAGUGUUGGCAUUUUUUCAGCAGUCAGAGCAACCAGCAGUUAGCAAAGAUGGCGGAUAGCGGACCUAUUGCACUGGAAUCGUUGCCGUAUCCUAGGAAUUGUUAGUUGGUCAAGAGUCGGCGGAUGAUGGUAAGAAAAUUAUACUUUAUAUUCACUUACCCUAACCUAACUUUAUAUUUUUGCAUAGCGUUGAUUGAAUGAAUGAUGUCAAUGAAGCCAAAUUCCUGCGUCCGAAAGCCUAGAUGUGCAGGCCCUGAAGUGGAACGCUCUGCCAGGAACGUAUACAUCAUCGCUCCAAGAAAACUAGAUCACUUUCCGGGACCAAACUAGCUCCAACAUCGUCCAAUAUGAUAUCUACCGAAAGAUGUAAAAUAAUUCAGCGACAGACACUGUUGAACAUCAAUAAACAUCAAUCUUGUUUUAUUUUGAUUUAAUUAAAGUAUUUAAAA